GCGGCGUGGGCGACCGAGGCGGCGGCGCUGGAGGCACGUCGGAGCAGCGGCGCUUGGCCCCGGGGGCCGAGAUGCUGAGCAUAUAGCAACUAGCAAAACAGACCAAGUCUUUUCCUCAUGGAGCUAACAUCCUACUUAGAUGUCCAAGUGUGGUGUGAGUUUUUGAGAACUCUGAGCCUGCAAGCAGCAGUUCCUAACCGAUUUUCAGGUCCUUUCAAAUCAAUAAGUGUAUACUUUGCACACAACGUGGAACCAGGCAUGGAGAACCGAGGACUAGACCAGCGAGGAGCUCCCGAGCCCUCUGCAGAUGUAUUUAAGAUGUAAGUUCAGAUGAAGUCAUACAGGAGAAGGGUUGGCCCUUAAUUCACUGCGUGGCAUCCUUUUAAGAAGAGGAGAAUGAACACAGAGAUAGACAUGCACAGAGGGAAGGCAAUGUGAAGAGUCACAGGGAGAAGGCCAUGUGGCAACAGAGGCCGAGGUCGGAGCGAUGCAUCUACAAGCCAAGGAUUGCUGGCAAAUACCCGAAGCUGAAAGAAGCAAGGAAGAGUCUUCGUCUAGAGUUGUUGGAGGGAGCAGGGCCCCGCAGACACGUUCACUCUGGACUUCUAGCCUCCAGAACUGGGAGAGCAUAAAUGUCAAUUGCUUCAAGUCACUCACUUUGUGAUACUUUGUUAUACCGCCCCAGGGAACUAAUACACCUGGGUUUCACAUGGUGGCUGAGAGGACCCACAGCCACUCCAGGAAAUCACCUCAGGAGCAUCUGGAAGCCGCGUGGUGGCCCUCUGAGGAAAAGUGCCUAGAGUGGAGUGGAAGGACACCAACAUGACAAGAGCCAAUAGGAGCCAACAGGAGAUAGAUAUAUAUAUUACGGCUGGGGUUUUU